AUGCACGCUGGCGGCGUGCCUAAUACAUUCCAGUCGAGCGAACAGACGAGGAGCUUGCUCCUCUGACGUUAGCGGCGGCCGGGUGAGUAACACGUGGAUAACCUACCUAUAAGACUGGGAUAACUUCGGGAAACCGGAGCUAAUACCGGAUAAUAUAUUGAACCGCAUGGUUCAAUAGUGAAAGACGGUUUUGCUGUCACUUAUAGAUGGAUCCGCGCCGCAUUAGCUAGUUGGUAAGGUAACAGCUUACCAAGGCAACGAUGCGUAGCCGACCUGAGAGGGUGGUCGGCCACAUGGGAACGGAGACACGGACCAGACGCCUACGGGAGGCAGCAGUAGGGAAUCUUCCGCAAUGGGCGAAAGCUUGACGGAGCAACGCCGCGUGAGUGAUGAAGGUGUUCGGAUCGUAAAACUCUGUUAUUAGGGAAGAACAAAUGUGUAAGUAACUAUGCACGUCUUGACGGUACCUAAUCAGAAAGCCACGGCUAACUACGUG
rnacentral:rRNA from 1 species